AUAAUCGGAAUAGCGCCAGGCCUCAUGACUGAGGUGACGAGGAGAGAGCUUAUCGAAAGAUUCGGCGGGUGGCUCUAGGGACUGCACUCUACAGGUCAAAAGAAAAAAUUCAUUGUAAAAUGAUAACAAACUUUUGGCUACGCAGACAG
rnacentral:ncRNA from 1 species